GAUGAACGCUGGCGGCGUGCCUAAUACAUGCAACUCGAGCGAACGGACGAGAAGCUUGCUUCUCUGAUGUUAGCGGCGGACGGGUGAGUAACACGUGGAUAACCUACCUAUAAGACUGGGAUAACUUCGGGAAACCGGAGCUAAUACCGGAUAAUAUUUUGAACCGCAUGGUUCAAAAGUGAAAGCCGGUCUUGCUGUCACUUAUAGAUGGAUCCGCGCUGCAUUAGCUAGUUGGUAAGGUAACGGCUUACCAAGGCAACGAUGCAUAGCCGACCUGAGAGGGUGAUCGGCCACACGGGAACUGGGACACGGUCCAGACUCCAACGGGAGUCAGCAGUAGGGAAUCUUCCGCAAUGGGCUAAAGCCUUACGGAGCAACGCCCCGUGAGGGAGUAGGGUCUUCGGAUCGUAAAACUCUGUUAUUAGGGAAGAACAUAUGUGUAAGUAACUUUGCACAUCUUGACGGUACCUAAUCAGAAAGCCGGGGCUAACUACGUG
rnacentral:rRNA from 1 species